CCUAAAAAUUGGUUUUGUAGUUAAUUAUGGAUUUAUUACCAGUCAUUAUUAAUCUAUUGGAAGGUCCAGAAACUAGUGGGAGCAGUAGUGAAAGUAGUACUGAUUCUGAGGUUGAGGAAUAUGCUAGAAUUGUACGAAUUGAAGGAUAUAUUGAAAGAGUAGUUGUAAAUUAUAGUGAAACAACAUUUAAAUCGCAUUUUCGAAUGCACAAAUUAAUAGUGUACCAGUUAGCUAGUAGACUGGAAAACAGUGGUUUCAUCCCUGUUCAUGAACACGGAAAAAUGAAAAUAUCAAGUGAAAAGGCCAUGCUUAUGACAUUAUGGUACCUUGGAAACACGGAAUCAUUUAGGCAGGUUUCUGAUCGUUUUGAUGUGUCACUGAGCUCUGCUCACCGUGUAAUUGAAAGGGUAUUAAAUUGUAUACUGUCUCUACGUACUGAGUACAUUAAGUGGCCAACGCAGGAGGAAACAGAAGUUAUAUCUAAAGCUUUCGCCACCAAAUUUGGCAGUCAAAAUGUAAUUGGAGCAAUUGAUGGAUGUCAUGUGAGAAUUCGGAGGCCAAAAAAUGAUCAAGACUCAUACAUCAAUAGAAAAGGAUACUUUAGUUUGCUAAUACAAGGAACUGUCAAUAGCUUCAGGCAAUUUAUUGACGUGUAUUGUGGAGAGCCGGGAUCUCUGCAUGAUGCUCGGUUGUUAAGGAGGUCCUCACUGUAUUCUAAAGCCGAAAAUAAUGUUAAUUUCUUUGGCAAUAAAUACUUACUGGGUGAUUCAGCAUAUCCAUCUCUGAGUUGGUUAGUACCUCCAUUUAAGGACAACGGUGCCCUAAGUAACAAUCAAAAAGUGUUUAAUUUUAAACAUUCAUCGACACGCAUUAUUGUUGAACAUGUGUUUCGACUUUUGAAGGGGAGGUUCCGCAGGCUACAACAUUUAGAGAACUUAAAUAUCAAUAUCUGUGUGAAAAUUAUGAUGGCUUGUUGUGUGCUUCACAAUAUUUGUGAAAGCAAACAUGAUAAUACAGUAAUAGAACCUUAUGACAUAAGUAGUGAUGUUAAUAGUGAAAUACCAUUGCAGUCAGAUGUAAAAAACGUAACCAGGCAUCGGAGAGAACAAAUAUUUGAAGAAAUGUUUUCGUAAUCAGAUUAUAUGUUUUAUUUUUUAUUUCAUGAAAUAAACAAAUAUUUAUAGUAACAUAUAACAUAUUCCCAAUGUAAUAUUACAUAAUUUAAAAAACGAAAUUACUAUUCAUAUUGAAACAACAUAAUUACAACUAUUUAUGAGUUUAACUUAUUUAAAAUUUCUUGUAAGAGAUUCACUUUCUGUUCCUCAACCUUGUUCCUUAUCUCAAGAAGUCUCAUUUUUUCCUUAUGUCUUUCAUGUUUUCUCCUAAAUUCCUCUUUUUUUAUUUGUAGAAUGCUUCCUUUUUUUUCUUUACUUCGUGUCAGUGUGGGUGUUGAUGACCGUGAUGAUGACGGAGAGGACAUUGCAGACAUCUCGGGAGGUGGCAAUGUGUCGGGUAAAUUUUGUAAGUUAUUAGAUUCUAAUGUAUGUGUCGCACUGCUCGAUGGUUUUUCACCUAGAACCCCAUCCAUUUCAGAAAAAAAUAAAAAUCUAGUUGGUCCUCUUCCGGUUUUUAGCAUGUUAUCUUUUGCAGUUUUAUAAGAUCGCAUUAAGUUUUUCCACUUAUUGUGGCACACGGUAGCGUUCACCUGAAAGCCAUUGCUUAUCAGAUCAUUUGCAACAUUUUCGAAAAUGAAUUUCCUUUUUUUAGGAUGGUUUUCAUCCUCAAUGUGCACUUCCAUUGACUUAAUAAGACACAACGUCUCGUCAUGCGACCAGCUGUGACGGUCGUUUUCCAAGUACUGUUCCAAAUUGUCCGAUGCCGGUUCCAAGUUCUCUACACGACUUUGAUUUGAGGCAACUGUACUAAUAGAACUACCGGUAACUUUUGCGUGAAAUAAUAGACUUUGUGCAAAUGCAUGAUCUAUAAAAUAUAGUAAUUAGCAAAAUUUGAUUACAUAGAAAUAGUUAUAUAAACCUGUCAUUGCACGAUUGUAAUCAGUUUCUGAUACACAUAAUUUAUAUUGUACGUCGUCUUCCUCUAGGAUUAAUUCCAUUAUUGUUUCGUGAUAUUACCCAAGCAAAAUAUUUUAAGCAAAGAUGUAAAUAAAGAACUAAGGUUAUGUUUACUGAUCUACUCUAAUGCUCCCGCGAAAAAGGUCGUGCAUGAGGGGAAGAGGGAAACAUGAACCAGAUCAAAAUGAUCUGUGGUAAUGGAACACACCGGAGCUCUUCAGAGUUACUCGAUCAGCUCUGAUCAGUUGAAAGGAAAGCGGCUUAGGUAGUAUUCAUGUUUUGGUUUGUCCGCCAUUAUUGCGCGCCAAAGUUUUGUGUCUGUUGACGUUGGACUUGUAUUUUUCGUUGGAAUAUUUUCUUCUCCAGGUUGUAAUUGCCAGUUGGCCAAGUGUGAAAUAAAACGACAUUCUGUAUCAUUGACGGAAUUAUUAUAAUUGGACCUGGGCGCGUUCGGAGUGAUCUACGUUCGCAAAUAGCGGUGCACAUAAUAUCGUAUAGGUACGUACUGAAUUCGUUAAUGUUUGCCAAUUGAUGUGAGUUGCAAUUAAUAUUUAAUACCUGUGUUGAUUUCGUAUACCUACAAUGCCAAAGUAUAAAUUAAGUCGCUCAUCUUAUAGACAUGCUCAAGUUAAAUCAAAUCAACAAAUUGCGCAACUUGAACAUACAGGUCUGAACGUAAAUCAAAUCGCCUUUAAAUGUGUGAAAUUCCCAUUUGGUAAUAAAUUUGUAGUAUUUCCCUUGUUACAUUCUGCAACUACCAAAUAAAAUACCUUAUUUUGGUUUGUGAAUACAACGUAAUUGGAUGAACAUGUAAAUUAUGUUUAAUUUUAAUUUUCACGCUUUUAGUGGAAAGUGUCUCUUUUCAUUCUCUUCAUUUAGAAAGAAGAUAUUUUCAAAUUAUGUAUUACAAUGCAUGAUACUAAUGCGUUAGUCAAGAAGAGGCACUUCCCACUACAAUCUGAUUUUUAUCACUUUCAUUUAUUUUUUCUAACUGAUAUUUUUCUAUGCAUCUAUCUAUGCAUAAAAAGCAUGCCACACAAUGGGAAUCUCACCUGGUCUGUCAUCAAAUUCCCAGAAGAAAAUUCUGUAUCCGUGGUACCAACCUCGUGGCUACAUGGCAAUAUAUGCUUCUGGCCGCCGUAUAAUAGAAAACUGUUGCAAGACGCAAUUGAGAAAGGGGACCCUCCCGAUAAAGAAGUUUGGCAGCAGUUUCAAUUUUUACCCUUAAGGAAUAAUAUAUUUGAUAAUUUUAAAGAAGCUGAACGUAAAUCACGCAAAGCAACAAUAACUUCAGAUUUGGAUUCACAAAUGGAAGAUCAUCCUGAGCACAUAACAAGUAAAAGAAAAAGGAAAAUACGAAAAAUGUCAAGUAGCGAUAAUGAUUCUUCGGGAGAUGACGAAGAUAUGAGGCGUAAACUCCCAAAACCUCCCCAGCCAAAUUUACAUAAACAAAGCGUCUUUUCGCAACAUUCAUCAAAUCAAGUACUUCAAACAUUUACUGAUUCAGAAGAGUUUGGGAAUAAUGACAUCACUGAUGCUGUGAAUACGUCUUUCCCAGAGGGCUUUCGAGACGUGAGACCGCUUUCGAGUAAUAGUAAUAAUAACGGUUAUUCCACUACCAUCACAUCCAAGUCUACGCAAGUUGAUAAGAAUAAUGUUGGUGAUAUCACAGAAUAUCUAAAAAUGAUUUUGCGGAAACAGAACAUAUUGCAAUGUAUGGUCGCUGAUAUGAACACAAAGCUUCAAAAUAUUGAAAAUUCUAUCCAGAGCAAUAAACAAGCAGAUGACAAAAAUGAAUCUGACUACGACUCUUCACUUUUUGUAUUGAUUGAAAAUUUGCCAAUCAAUUCCAAUGAGACUCUCAAAGAAGUUGAAGAUUUCUUAUCUGAUGAAAAAAAAUUGAAUGACGCAGUAAGGGAAAUUUCCAAACUGGGAGGCAAAACACUGCAUAUGAAUUUAUACUUAGAGUGACAAAAAAAUUAAUAACAGAUAAGUUCGCUGGCAAUGAAUUUAGUUUCUUGGGAAGGAAAAAAAAAAACGAUUCAUAGAUUUGAAAUUGGCAUUGCUGUUAAAAAGUGCUGUUUAAGCCGGCGCCACAGUCAUUUCGUUAAGAAAUUUGAUCGUUCUUCUUGUACAAUGGUGUUAUGCGUGUCGAAGUUCAUUAAUGCCUUACUGUAAUCCUUAUUUGAAGCUGCCAUUUCCCUGUUUAGGAAAACUGAAAAAGAGAUUGAAAAUGACAUGGCGAAGUGGUUACGCAAAUGCCCUGAAAAAUCUAGAAAAAAUAAUUGAAAGUAUUAUGUUUAUUUAUUUUAUUUACAUAAUAAAGUAACGGAUUUUUAAA